UACGUAGGGUGCAAGCGUUGUCCGGAAUUAUUGGGCGUAAAGAGCUUGUAGGCGGUUUGUCGCGUCUGCUGUGAAAUUUCGGGGCUCAACCCCGAACUUGCAGUGGGUACGGGCAGACUAGAGUGUGGUAGGGGAGACUGGAAUUCCUGGUGUAGCGGUGAAAUGCGCAGAUAUCAGGAGAACACCAUGGCGAAGGCAGCUGCAGCUGGGACGGUACGACGCUGAGAACGCGGAAAGCGUG
rnacentral:rRNA from 1 species